GAUGAACGCUGGCGGCGUGCCUAAUACAUGCAAGUCGAGCGAACGGACGAGAAGCGUGCUUCUCUGAUGUUAGCGGCGGACGGGUGAGUAACACGUGGAUAACCUACCUACAAGACGGGGAUAACUUCGUGAAACCGGAGCUAAUACCGGAUAAUAUUUUGAACCGCAGGGUUCAAAAGUGAAAGACGGUCUUGCUGUCACUUAGAGAUGGAUCCGCGCUGCAUUAGCUAGUUGGUAAGGUAACGGCUUACCAAGGCAACGAUGCAUAGCCGACCUGAGAGGGUGAUCGGCCACACUGGAACUGAGACACGGUCCAGACUCCUACGGGAGGCAGCAGUAGGGAAUCUUCCGCAAUGGGCGCAAGCCUGACGGAGCAACGCCGCGUGAGUGAUGAAGGUCUUCGGAUCGUAAAGCUCUGUUAUUGGGGAAGAACAUAUGUGUGAGUAACUGUGCAUAUCUUGACGGUACCUAAUCAGAAAGCCCCGGCUAACUACGUG
rnacentral:rRNA from 1 species